rnacentral:sRNA from 1 species
GCCUUCUGGUAGACCAGGCCCUGCCACAAAAAGUGCCAUUCAGAAAGCUCACCAGCGAGAAGAGAGCUCCACGCUCAGCCUCAGAAGAAAGACGUUCAACGACUUACGGGGGAGAGAAAUAAAAGAACGGGAGCUGAGAGAAAGUUUCACACAUUUGAUUUAGACCUUACGAUCAGCCAUUGUUUACAUCGGGAAGCAUCAAUCCAGAGUAACUGGCAAGCAGGGACAGGGUCUCACCAUGUCGCCCAGGCUUGUCUUGAACUCCUGGCUUAAGUGAUCCUCCAGCCUCAGCCUCUCAAAGUACUGGGAUUACGGCAUGAGCCACCAUGCCUGGCCCAGCCUCUUCCUUGAGAACUAGCAGAUAGCACAGCACUCCUGUUUGAAGCAGACCAACACCUUGAGAUUUGUUUAAGCCAAGAAGGAGGUCCUACCUUUAAACAAGAAAAGGUUUAUGACUCUCUUGACAUACUCCAGGGAUUCCUGUCUGACAGUGCUCAGGAAGAACAACUGAAAAAAACAGAACUCUAACAUUUCAGAACUGUCAGAGACAAAAACUGACAGAGACAAAGAACACCCAAUCCAGCCUUCUCAUGUUGCAAAGGAAGACGUUGAGUCUAGAGACAAGGAGCGCCUCACUCCAGGCACGGUUAUGGCAGAACUCAAGGGGCAAAACUGGGUGGGAGGAGAAUUGCAGAGAGGGGUAGAGGGCUCUCUCUCGCCUUCCGACUGGGACUGUAUUACUUUCAUUAUUUCAGUGCCUGUGAGCAUGAGAAUGCGCCAAUGCUAUAGAUAAUUAAGGAAAAAGUUGUGGGAGGUGGAGUAUGGUAUCACAGCUACCAGUAAUACCAUA